UACGUAGGGCGCAAGCGUUGUCCGGAAUUAUUGGGCGUAAAGAGCUCGUAGGCGGUUUGUUGCGUCGACUGUGAAAACCCGCGGCUCAACCGUGUGGCUUGCAGUCGAUACGGGCAGGCUAGAGUUCGGUAGGGGAGACUGGAAUUCCUGGUGUAGCGGUGAAAUGCGCAGAUAUCAGGAGGAACACCGGUGGCGAAGGCGGGUCUCUGGGCCGAUACUGACGCUGAGGAGCGAAAGCGUGGGGAGCGAACAGG
rnacentral:rRNA from 1 species